CUGGGGAGGUGGCUGUCGUCAUCUUCUCAGAAGAAGAUGAUGCCAAAGCUGCCGCAGCCAGUGGGUGGGCGGACAGCCAAGCUGCAUAGCCAAUCACUGAAGUAUCACUUAGCAACCCCCCCACCAUCACCAUUUCUCCUCUCCGCAGCUCCCCCACCCCAGCCACUGCAGCUUGUGCAAACCCCGCCCCCCGAAAAACCAGAGUCUGCAGCAGAGCUUCGAAGACAGCCGCUGUAGUGUCCCUCCACAGCAUCUCCUUUCCCCCUUUUCCCUUCCCCCUUCCCCUUCCCCCUCCCCCACCCCACCCCCUUCUCUUCCUUUUUCUCCCCUUCCCUCCCCUCCUCUCCCAGGGUCUUUGCACAUAGACCCGACCCUUGGAAGGGUCUUUUCCCUCCAACGAGAUACCACGGGUCCUUCUGCACGCCCCCUCCCCACUUGUCGCUGUUUGGGCGCAUCCCGCCCAAGGAAGAUCAGAAGACUGGCAGCAGAGCUUCUAGGUUAGCGGCUGCGGUCUCCCUUUACCUGAUCAUCUUCCUUCCCCUCCCUCCUCCUUUCCUCUUUCCCCUUCCCCUUUCCCCCUUCCUCUACCUUCUUUCCCUCUUAUGUCCUCCCCACCCCCACCCCCCCCGCCCCGGGCUGCGGCCCGGAGUGGGUAAACCCCACCCCUGGAAGACCCGAAGGAUUGAAGACCGGAUUCCUCGGAGACCUUCAAAGGAACUACUAAUGUAGUCUCCUUUCCCCUUCCCUCUCCCCACUUCUCCCUCUUCCCCUCUCCCAUCCCUUCCCUAAUCUAACCCCUUCCUCUUUUUCCUCCCCCCCCCGCCCCCACAGUCUGGUGUGGGUGGACCCCACCCCUGGAAGACCAGAAGACUAGAUCCUGCAUUUGAGCUUGGUGGGAAGAGGAGGAACUGCCUCUGCAAUCUUCUUUUAUUUCCCCCCUUAUAUCUCCCCACUUCCCCCUUCCCUCCCCUCCUCUCCUCUCCCCUUUCCCCUCUUCCUAUCCACAGGCCUGUGUGAGCAGAUCCGGUCUCUGGGAGGCCCUUGUCUGCAGAACCACUGAGGCUGGGACUGCAGGUUGUCCCUCUCCCUUCCCCGAGACCCUUUGAAACCUCCCCUUCCACUCCCCGUAGUGAUGGGGAACCCUAUCCCUGGAAAGCCCCAGCCCUUCCGCAGAACUGCGGAUGCUGUGGACCAGCUGACCCCCCCAAAGGCAAUUCUUCCCCCUUCCUUCAGCUUCUCUGGGCUGUGUCUUGGAGAAAGGCCCUGAGACCCGACUGUGCUGCUGUCAUUCCUGCGGAAAAGACUGAACCUGGAGGAUUUCACUGCCCAUGACUAGCCCUUUGUCAACGGGGCAGCCAGCGCCUUCUUCAACUUGGCUGGAAUGGAGGCUUUCAAUUCCUUGGUGCCCUCGGCUGUGAAUUGGCCCCACAUCCCUCUUCCCUGUGCAGGAGCCCACUGAGGGGAGUCGCCUGAUGCUUCACUUUGGUUGGCUUCUGAUUCUCCAGGAUUUCUCCAUCCAGGACUUCAGUCUGUGAUAUGAAAGCAUCUCUGGUGCCAGUGACUGCAGCAACCUUCUCCCCCAGCCUCUUAAUGAGGCAUGUCUCCUCCCUCUUCUUGUUCUUCCCCUUCCCCUUCCCCUUCCCUUUCCUUAAGACUGCACCGAAUCCUUCUCCUUAGGACCAUGGGCAAUUUUGAUGACCUCAGAGGGAACAAACAGCCUCUCUGUGCCCUGAUGGAGGGAUUCUGAAAAAGACUGUAAAAAUGUUUUAAGUUUCUAUGUACUUUCCUUCCCUUCCCCAGAGCUUCCAGGAAGUUCUUCUUUCCCUUUGUCUGUCCUUAGUAUGUAAGAUUCCCUAUAUGUCCUUAGUAAAUAGGAACUCCCAAUGUGUCCUUAGUAUGUAGGGUUUCCUUUAUGUCCUUAGUAUCUAGGGUUCCUGUAUGUCCUUAGCAUCUAGGGUUCCCUGUGUGUUCUUAAUAGCUAGGGUUCCUUAUGUGUCCUUAGUAGCUAGGGUUCCCUAUACCUUUCCUUUCCAUUUAAUGCAAUUCAGCAAGUAUUUAAUAAGUGCCUACUAUAUAUACAGUGCUGGGGAAAAAGAAAAAAAUAAAGCAGUUGGUGCCCUUAAGACGGCAGAAGUUGGUUGUUUUGUUUUCUCCUUCCUCCAGGGAGAAAACGUGUUGAAAGGGCUCAUAGAUUUGAAGCUGGAGGGACCCUUAAAGGCCAUCUUGUACAAUUCCUUCAUUUUACAGAUGAGGAAACUGAAGUAACCAUAUGGCUUGCACACAGGGUCCCAGGCGUAUCUAUGAGCUACCGAGAUGGGAUUUAAAUCCAAGUCCUCUAAACCCAAUGAUUCCCACAUGUCCCUCCUCCUCCCCCCCUACUCUCUCCCCCCCUCAACCUUCCAUACUCUACCCCUUUCAUACCUACCCCUGCCACUGGACGACUUUGGAGCUCUCUCUUUCCCUUUCCUUAUCAGACAUUGCCCAGAACAAGUACUCACCCCUGGAUGUCUGGAAGGGUAAGGGAAAAUGUAGAUGAAAGCUUAGUUCUGGGCCUCUGAGAUACCCUGAGGCAGUCUACCCCUGCUGGGUGGUUUCUGGCCCCCAGCCCUCACUGACACUUAGAGGGUCUAGCUCUUGGCCAGUGGCACUCCUAACUCUCAAUCCCGAUCCAAUACAUUCAUUCCAUCUGUAUAUAAACUCUUCCAUUUCGAAGGGAAAGGGGUCAACAAAUUUUCAGAAGUCCUUCCCUUUCCCUGUGGUCUAGCAAUGACCCUCUUCUAUCAACCCUGUGUUUUUCUCAUUUAAGAUAAAAUGCCUAACAAGAUACCUUCUGUAAGAUAGCUUGUUCUGAUUUAUAUAUUGUGGUUUCUUUUUGCUAAUUCUUUGUAUCUCCAGCAUUAGUUUAGCAUAGUGGCUGAAUAAAUACUUGCUGUUUGUAAUGGAAUCCCUAACACUUUCUUCUGAGCCACAAGAGCUCAGUAGGGUCUAGUAGUUAACAAGGGCUUUCUUCCUUUCCAGCUGUGAAUCACAUAGACUGAUUCCAGUUGGGUCCCCAGAGUUGGGUGGGAGAAGGGACAAUUGCCCCAUCUCCCACCUGGCCUCCAUGCGGCCACAAGGUCGCCCCUGUAUUUUUUGUUUGUUCUUUCCUGUUUGUAGAUGAAUAAUUCUUCUGUAAUGCAUGCAACCCAGACUCAUAGUGAACUUGUGGACUCCAAAAGGUCUGAAUGUUUAGAGGCAGCAAAUCCAGAGCAGCUGUGGCUGACAGCAGAAGUUAAAACUGGACUAUUUGAAUGCCAGGAGUGAUUGGACAGUGCAAUGAUAAGAAGAGAUUUAAAAUACAUGUAGCAAAUCUUGCAGAAUUGCUCUCUGUCUCAGUGAGGUGUAAAUAUUAGCUUCCCAGCUUAUUGUUACAGUAGUUCAAAGUUAAAUUGCUAAAUCUUGUUAAUCCUGUUAAACUUGUUGAUUCUGUUAAUGUGAGCUAUGAUUCUUUCAUGAUUAGCAUUUCUUUCUGUAUAGAAAUGAGCUAUCUAUUCCUUACCUGUGAAAAACAACAAACAAACCCAGAAUAGAACCCUAUCCAUCUCCAAGAAGUCUGGGUUUUCUUUUUCUUAUUUAACUCUUUCAAUACCCUUUUGAAGAUACUACAUUUCUGAAGGGACACUGGUUUCUUCUCUCCCUAUUAGAAUAUCCGCACUUCUUCAUCAUCCAGCUCCUCUAACUGCUUAAAUAAAUUGACCUUUCUGUGUU